rnacentral:rRNA from 1 species
UACGUAGGGGGCAAGCGUUGUCCGGAAUCAUUGGGCGUAAAGCGCGUGUAGGCGGUCCGGUAAGUCCGCUGUGAAAGUCGGGGGCUCAACCCUCGGAUGCCGGUGGAUACUGUCGGGCUUGAGUACGGAAGAGGAGAGUGGAAUUCCCGGUGUAGCGGUGAAAUGCGCAGAUAUCGGGAAGAACACCCGUGGCGAAGGCGGCUCUCUGGGACGGUACUGACGCUGAGACGCGAAAGCGUGGGGAGCGAA